CUCGUUUAGGCUGGAGGCGUUGAAUGAUGCACUUUCGCCUUAGCAACAAUUCAUGAAUGAAGCUCUUCUCUUCUUCUUCAGUAUCAUGGUGGUCCGCAAACAAAUGUUAUAGGUUAAUGCCGCCACCUACUGUACAAUCCAUUAUACUUGCUGAUACAAAAAAGGGAAAAUUGAAUGCCUAGUACCACACGUUAUGUAGCACUAUAUUGGAUCAUUGAAUCAAACAUUUCUGCAGCAUUUAAGGUCCCCAAGAACACAGUGGCCUCCAUCAUUCUUAAAUGGAAGCAUUUUGGAACCACCAAGACUCUUCCUAGAGCUGACCGCCCAGCCAAACUGAGCAAUCAGGGGAGAAGGGGCUUUGUCAGGGAGGUGACCAAGAACCCGAUGGUCACUCUGACUGAGCUACAGAGUUCCUCUGUGGAGAUGCUUGUCCUUCUGGAAGGCAGACUCCAUUAAUCAGGCCUUUAUGGUAGAGUGGCCAGACGGAAGCCACUCCUCAGUAAAAGGCACACGACAGCCCGCUUGGAGUUUGUCAAAAGGCACCUAAAGGACUCUUAGAUCAUGAGAAACAAGAUUAUCUGGUCUGAUGAAACCAAGAUUGAAGUCUUUGGCCUGAAUGCCAAGCGCCAUGUCUGGAGGAAACCUGACUACGGUGAAGCAUGGAGGUGGCAGCAUAAUUCUGUGUAGAUGUUUUUCAGCAGCAGGGACUGGGAGACUAGUCAGGAUCAAGGCAAAGAUGAACAGAGCAAAGUACAUACAUACAGAUCCUUGAUGAAAACCUGCUCCAGAGCGCUCAGGACCUCAGACUGGGGCAAAGGUUCACCUUCCAACAGGACAAUGACCCUAUGCACACAGCCAAUAAAACACAGAAAUGGCUUCGGGACAAGUCUCUGAAUUUCCUUGAAUGGCCCAGCCAGAGCCCGGACCCAAUCGAACAUCUCUGGCGAGACCUGAAAAUAGCUGUGCAGCAACACUCCCCAUCCAACCUGGCAGAGCUUGAGAGGAUCUGCAGAGAAGAAUGGGCGAAAUACAGGUGUGCCAAGCUUGUAGCGUCAUACACAAGAAGACUCAAGGCUGUAAUUGCUGCCAAAGGUGGUUCAAGGAAGUACUGAUUAAAGGGUCUGAAUACUUAUGUAAAUGUGACAUUUCAUUUUCUCUUUCUCUCUCUCUCUCUCACACUCUCACUCUCACUCUCACUCUCUCUCUCACUCAUAUAUAUAUAUAUAAAAUGAAACAGGCAGGGAGCAGGUCUCGAGCCCCAGGUCCGGAGCACUAUCGACUGUGCUGCAAAAGCAUGCUCGUGCGGCAGAGUUACACUACUCCCUCCUUUCAAAGAGUGUGCUUGGCUCACCGGCCAAGCACACUCACUGUCGUGGAUGCAAGGUCCAAUCACUUCUGAUCUUUGUGUAGAUCAGGAUUUAUUUUUUUUAAUCAAUUUUACAAGAAGGCUCUAACGUAACAAAAUGUUGAAAAACUGAAGGGGUCUGAAUACUUUCCGGAUGCACUGUAAGUAUAUAAUAUUGUGUGGCAAUUCCCAGACCUAGCAGUUAAGGUUAUGUAACCUUAUUUAGUCCUACCUGCUAUGGUGGAUUUUAAAUGAAUUGGUAUUCACUUUGUUUUUCGGUAGAAUUACUGUCAUGGGCAUCCUGAGUGGCGCAGCGAUCUAAGGAACUGUAUCGCAGGGGCUCGAUCCCAGGCUUUGAUCGGGAGUACCAUAGGGCAGUGCACAAUUGGCCCAGCAUCGUCUGGGUAAGGGGAGGGUUUGGCCGGGGGGGGCCUUACUUGGCUCAUCGCACUCUAGCGACUCCUUGUGGCGGGCCAGGCGCCUGCAGGCUGACUUCGCCUCUCCCGAGCCCGUUGGGGAGUUGUAGCAAUGAAACAAGAUCGUAAUCACAAAAAAGGGGGUAAAAAUUGCAAAAAAAUAAAUCAUUACUGUUAUUGAUGCCAAAUUGCAAACCUUAUUUGCACUGUCUGUAUUCCAAAACCAAUGGGUGUGCCUGAGUCUUAUCACCUCUCAACUUGGUCAAUUAUUUCAACCUCGAACACUAUUCUUUGGUCUGGUUCAGUCAUUGCAGGAAGUCCUGAAGAGCCGGAGUUUGAAGGCUUUUGUCCCAGCCCAGCUCUAACACUUGAUCAACAUAGUCCAUUGACCAUAAUGUCAGUGGGAUGAGGGCAAUUCAUUUUGAUGGUAUUGAUAUAUAACGCAUGCUCCACUCUCAAGUUGGACUUGUUGACUGAUGCCAAGGCGGUGGUUGCUAAGAAGAAAGGAGCUUCUGUGAAACACAAGAUUGCAGCCAAGGCAGCACUGGUUCACACCUGCCUUGUCUGUCGGAUGCAGACCCGAAGACAUUCAAGCAGCACUUUGAGAGCAAGCAUCCCAUGUCUCCAAUGGUCCCAGUACCGGUUGAUGUGCAGACAUAAGUGACCACACACACUCAAAUGGACCUAUAGCUGGGACACACGGUGACCACGAUUUGAAUGCUUACAGCUGACACAUGGAAUGACAUGACCCCGAGAAUGACUGGACAUGGGCUGGAUAUUUGUGACAACAACCUAAAAGGGGUGCAGACGCACACUAGCACCCCAUUUUAUGUUUAUUCCAUAGCCAAUCAUAUCUCUAGCUAACCCCUUAUUCCACACUAUGCCUUUUAUGCCCUGUGGUCCCUCAACUUCUGACACUUUGUAACUCUCCAUCUUAUAAACCCACACUACCUUCACCCAUUUUCCCUAUGCUGCUUAUUAACAUAUUAUUCUCCUGAUUUGAUAACAUUUAUACUCAAUAACAUGUUUCAAGGUGCUUACACAUGGGCGGUCGUAAGCGGCAAUUGAACCACGAGAAAAUCUGCCUACCAUGUGUAGAGACCAGUGAUCCAGGUUGUUGUCAGCUUGAAAGUUGUCAUUAAAACAUUGUUUGAUUGGUUGACAAGAUGAACUCUGCUCAUUGGUCAACCAUGAGCGGCGGCAGCUCAGGACUUCAGCUAAUGACAUCUUUUGGUGCCUCGGGCUCCGAGCCAGCUUCGCCUCUCAUGGGAGCGAGCACCACGAACAGGGCCGCUUGCAAAACUGCUUGCAUUUUGCCGCCAGCCGCUCUACUCCAAUUGAAGUCUUUAAACGCUUACCACGGCCUGUUACCUUUUUGUGGUGUACUGUUUUUGCUACCUUCAGACUGAAUGCAGUGGUAAAUGUGUUGCUCACAAUUGACAGCCUCAACAUGAACCUGUUAAAUUGACAAGGGUAUAGUUGAGUUUAGGCAUGGCUUUCUUGUUUUGAGUCUGUUAAGUUUGUUUCUCAUUGACCUAGUAUUUUAUAUCAAAUCAAAUGUAUUUAUAAAGCCCUUCUUACAUCAGCUGAUAUCUCAAAGUGCUGUACAGAAACCCAGCCUAAAACCCCAAACAGCAAGCAAUGCAGGUCUAGAAGCACGGUGGCUAGGAAAAACUCCCUAGAAAGGCCAGAACCCAGGAAGAAACCUAGAGAGGAACCAGGCUAUGAGGGGUGGCCAGUCCUCUUCUGGCUGUGCCGGGUGGAGAUUAUAACAGAACAUGGCCAAGAUGUUCAAAUGUUCAUUGAUGACCAGCAGGGUCAAAUAAUAAUAAUCACAGUGGUUGUUGAGGGUGCAACAGGUCAGCACCUCAGGAGUAAAUGUCAGUUGUGCUUUUCAUAGCCGAUCAUUAAGAGUAUCUCUACCGCCCCUGCUGUCUCUUUAGAGUUGAAAACAGCAGGUCUGGGACAGGUAGCACGUCAGGUGAACAGGCCAGGGUUCCAUAGUCGCAGGCAGAACAGUUGAAACUGGAGCAGCAGCACGGCCAGGUGGACUGGGGACCGCAAGGAGUCAUCAGGCAAGGUAGUCCUGAGGCAUGGUUCUCAGGACUAUAUAUCAAACCUACAGUACCUUACACAUCCAGUUGUUGCUUUCUUUAGUAAGGCAGCACCAAAAUGGAGGUGUUUCAGGCUA